CUCUGUAAAAAAAUCAAUAAAAUAUAUAUAUAAAAAAAGAAGAAAAUAUGGCAAAUGAGAAAAAUUCACAUCUGAUUUUACCACUGUGAACAAUUAUAUAUUCACUUCAUCUUUUCCACAUGCAUCAUUUCUCUAAAAUGUUAAUUACUAUGUAAGUACAAUGUAACUUGCUUUUAAAAAUAAUUAAAUGCUGCUAUAAAGUCCUUAAAUAGUCAACUUAAAAACCUCUGACUUACCCAGUCCCCUCACUAGACACUUGUUUCCAGUUUGUUGCCAUUACUACAUAGAGCUUUUCCAUUCUUUUUAAAAAUUUUUUUAUAAAUUCCCAGCAGUGAGUCAAAGGGUAUAUACAUUUUCAUGGCCUGACAUAAUUCCAGUUGUUUUUCUUUGUCUAAGAGUUAUCAAUUUAUACUGUCUUCAAUAAUUAAAAUGUAGCUACUUCACUGAGCUUUCCAGCAUUAAGCAUUUUUUUCUAACAUUAGAUAUGAAACAUCUUUAGUUUGCAUUUUUUUUACUAACAAAGUUGACCAGUGUAUUGAUUAUUCUUUUAUCUGUAACAAAUGAAGCAACUAUAGAAUACUUUUACUUAUUAGUGUUAUUGACAUACAAAGCCCUCAACUUUCCCAAAUACUACUGCAAAACAAACAUUUCAAACUCAAUUUUUAUUAGAGCAUAAGUAUUCUUUCAUACUGGAAAGAAGUUAAGAUUCGGGUAUUUAUUUAUUUAUAUCAAUGUAUAUUUAUCUGUCAAUGAAAACAAUUCUGAGCUUUGCUUUCUGGACAAAAAUGCCCAAUUAGUCUCUCUUCAUAAAAAGCAAUUACAAUCUAAGGAUAUUCAUGUCUGCGUUGAUUGCCAACCCCAAGUCCUCUUCAUUUAAAUCUUUCCAUUUCAUGGGGAACGUUCAUUCUCAUUGAUAAUGGUGGCAAAGCCUUUUGAUUUGCCAGCAGAUUCUAAUUUGCUGUUAUCAGGUUCACUGUCAGAUAAAGAUUUUCUUUUUGUGCCAUCUGUUUCUUUAUCAGCUUUUUGAAAAUUAAGACACAGAUGAUCAAGUUUUCCUCAAGUUCUCAAGGACUGUCAGCAUCUGUACAUCCCAUCUAUUUGGGGAAAACGAUGGGCCAGAGACACUAUCAACAACACAAAGGUGACUGCGAGCAAUUCCUGCCCACAAGACGUUUACAAUCUUUAAAAGAGAAAAAAAGAAAUUUACAAUCUAAUAAAUGAGGAAUGGACUUCAGCAAGACCAUUUAAGGAGCUUGGUAUGUGUUUCCUGCAACUCUAGACUGAUUCUGCUUGAUUCAAGCCUGAGAAAGAUGCAGUGGCUGGGAGCAAGAGUAAAAAGACAAGACCAACAGACAAAAAAGAAGAGAGCUGCAUUUGGGUGUAACUGUGCUCCCCCUAAUGACAAGACAAAGAAUGCACAAGAAUUUCAUACAAGCAUGGAGCCACAUCCAAGAGAUAAGCCAGCAUGGGAUCAUUUCAUUUUAUUUUAUUUAUUAUUUUGUUUAAACUCAAUGAAAACUGGCUUAAACUAUAAGGGGAUUUAUUGUCUAAGUCAGCAAUUUUCAACUGGUGU